UAAGUUACCCAAAGGUAGCCUCACUGUUAUUUUUGUGGUUAAAUUGUCUCCCUUAAUGGAAAUCUUUUACUGGCAAUAUGGCAGCUUUCAGUGAUGAAAAGCAGACGUCUAUGUUCGGUCCGAUUUUUCUAAUCUUUGAGGUUGUUGUGGACAAUCAAAGCACUAUACAACUCAUCUGUUAGACAAGGUUUAUCUUUGUACAAAGGACACAACCACCACCUUAAAUUUAUCCACAGCACUGAGGGCAGUGAGGCCUGUUUAUCAAACUUUCCACAUGUUCCAGGAGGACUAUUUUAUACACAUAAGUGACAUUGUUUUCUGUUGAUCGUGCUGCUAUAAAAUUGUCAAUAUGUCCAUGCCGAUGGCACAGAGACUUUUUUGGGAUAUAUUGGCGGGACUAUUCAACAAAGUGUGGAUUAAAAGAUCGUCCUGCGGACACUAAGGCAAAACUCCAAAAGGCGAAAAGCUGAUAGUGAUGGAGGAACUACACUAACCCUAUCAUAGGAAUACUGACUUUUAUAAUGACAACUAAUUCCAAAAGUGUCAGGUUUCUGCAAGCAGUGUUUUACCAAGAUUAGACAAACAGUAACUGAUGGAGGAAUCAUAGUUGGUACAAAAAAGAUUAUGAUAAGAAAACAUACAUAUGGAGAUGAAAGCCAAAUUAAAGAUGCUCAGGUUCUCAUAGGAGUAUAUUCACAGCAUCAACUAAUUUUUCAUAAUAUUUAGCAUCAGAUUGGGAAACAGAUAACAUUUCUGACCGGGAGAAACUCAACAGAGGCUUGCAUUUCCUUUGAAAUGGAAAGUAUCCACCAUUUAGGAACCAAUUGAAUCUUGCAUGGGAUGAUGUAUCAAAAAGUACAAUGGCUUUUUCUACAUAAUUAUCAUCAGAAAUUAUUGAUUUGAUUUUGAAUUAUAUUGUACCUGCACAGUACAAGUCGAUAAAGUGUUCUGAUCUGUAGUAGAAAAGAGGAAAACAGACGAAGCACAGUCAAUAUUACAACAGGAUGUUUUGACCGAAGCUAUUAUUGAUGCAUACUUACUAACUUAGACCUGAAUAGUCAUCCGACCUGGCUUCAGAUCUUAUCACUGUUUGCAUGUAUUCAGACCGUUUUGGUAGACUUCGCUAAUAUUAUAUGACAGUAAAACUAUAAGAAAACAGCCUGAAUAAUUAUAUAACCAUUUUGAUGAAAAUGUUUGCACCACAGUUGAACCAUUUAUCUGUAUAUUUGUUUUUAUUCAUGAAGUUUAAAAUAAAUUUUAUUUCCAUUUGAAAUAUUUUUGUUUGUCUGUGGUAGUAAUAGGCUAACUACAUCUUACAUGUCUUAUUCACAUGCCUCAAGUUAUUGGAGAUUACAUUCUAUGAGGAAACUUAACAUUGUUGUUAUGUCAACUGUUAUCCCAGAAGCUACAUAGGGAUCACUAUCUGUCAUUCAUGUCACAAAAUUUAAGUAACACUUUUCUCAGCAUCUGCUUGAUAUUUGACAAAAAGCUUAUAAAGAUUAAUUCCAAUAUAAAAAAAAUGGACCUCCUUUUCUAGGUAAGAAGCACUCAGUCUCAAUUUUUAUAUGUGUAUGUAACAUCAUCAAAUACAACAUGUAUUUACAUAUCAAUACUGAACAAAAGUAGCCAUAUCCAUUUUAGACAACAAAUGUCUAAAAUUAGCACAAAUGCUAAAAUUGUGAAUAUUUCAGAAAUUUUACAUAAAUUAAUGAUGAUAGUACCUGUUGAAUGUUCAUAGUAUUCUAAAAAAAACAGCCCAUUAAAAAAAGAUUUUAAAUCAUGAAAGUAACUGAAGUAUUCUACUUUUGAAAAGUGACUUCAAUAAGUAGCGAUAAGUUAAUACAUGUAUUUUAAACAAAUUGAAAAAUGCUAAAUUUUGGGGCUUAAAAGGGGUCUUUCCAGGCCUACUUCUGGAGUAUAUUUUCAAUUAAAACUAAGUUAAACUGAGUUUAAUCAAACAAGAUAAGCAAUAAACAUUAUAUCUGUCAUUAUUUACUUAUAUUUUUACUAUCACAUACAUUUGUAAAGUUUCUCUUGUAACCAAUAAAAAAAUCAUAAAUACGGCAAAAUUGCCAUCUUGUCCAUCUUAAAUUGUUAUUUUAUCGUAAGAAGGUAUCAUUUGCCGAGCACCAU